UCCCGCCCCGCUCCGCCCCGCGCGUCAUCCCGGCUCCCCGCCGGAUUGGGCGCCGCGGCUCCCUCGGCCGAUCCAGGAUGGCGGCGCCCAGCCGAGCCGCGAGCUGCGAGGACUUCGCCGAGUUCCAGGAGCUGCUCAGGGUGAUGAGGACAAUCGACGAUAGAAUUGUUCAUGAAUUAAACACUACGAUUCCAACAGCUUCCUUUGUGGGGAAAGUUGAUCCUGGCCAGACGUGUAAAGAGUUGUACGAGUCUUUGAUGGAUGCUCACACCAAUAGAGAAAGAAUCAUCAAAAACUGCAUCUCUCAGACUUCUGCUGUAGUGAAAACGCUCAAAGAGGAGAGGGAAAAGGCCCAUGAAGAUGCAGCAUUAUUAAAGCAACUCAGGAAAGAGCAGACAAAGUUGAAAUUGAUGCAGUCGGAGCUCAAUGUUGAAGAAGUGGUAAACGACAGAAGCUGGAAGGCAUCAGCAUUUUUGAUGAUAACAGCCUGCCAGGAUUAAGAGUCUGCAUUUUCUGAGGGAGAACACUUAGUGCUGUGCAGUUUCUCAACAUCAGGCUGCAUACUUUGGAUUUACUAAAGCCAGGAGUGAAGGUGAAUGGAGAUGGAUGUCUUGGUAUUUAAUGAGCGGUGCCGAAUUCACUACAAGCCUCCGAAGAGUCAAUGAUGAUGUGGGGUAUUUUCCAUCAAGGUGGUCCAUAACUGUGAGAGCCAAACUGGAAAGAGACCUUGGGUGAGCUGAAUUGGGACCCUCCAGAACCAGUAGAACCCAGUCUUGUUUUGUUUUGGACCUACUUAGCUGAAUUCUCAAGCUUGAAAUGAUUCUCCUGUAAUUAAGAGAAAACAACUCAACUUUUGUACAAAAUAUGUGAAAAAAUGAGUUUUAUAGUAUUAAAACAAUUUUCAAUC